UGGGUGUAAAGAGUUGCGUAGGUGGCAAGAUAAGUAGAUAGUGAAAUCUGGUGGCUCAACCAUUCAGACUAUUAUCUAAACUAUCUAGCUCGAGACUGUUAUGGGUAACUGGAAUUUCUAGUGUAGGAGUGAAAUCCGUAGAUAUUAGAAGGAACACCGAUAGCGUAGGCAGGUUACUGGGACAGUUCUGACACUAAGGCACGAAAGCGUAGGGAGCAAACGGGAUUAGAUACCCCGGUAGUCUACGCCGUAAACGAUGGAUACUAGCAGUUUUGGGUAUCGACCCCCGGAGUUGCGAAGCUAACGCGUUAAGUAUCCCACCUGUGUAGUACGAUCGCAAGAUUAAAACAUAAAGGAAUUGACGGGGACCCGCACAAGCGGUGGAGCGUGAUCUUUAAUUCGAUGGUAAACGAUAAACCUUACCAAGGCUUGACAUCCGAUGUAGGCUCUCGAAAGAGAACUGUGCCUUCGGGAACAUCGAGACAGGUGAUGCAUGGCCGUCGUCAGCUCGUGUCGUGAG
rnacentral:rRNA from 1 species